rnacentral:lncRNA from 1 species
GUGGAGUUGUGUAAUGACGAACUUACGAGGUCUGUUUAAUUUCAUGUCAUAGAUUUGAGAAAUGUAAAUCAUUGUUUUUACCUGGAUAUGAAUGAUUUCUUGUUGACCAAAUCGGUCGAAGAAAUGUUUUUUUUUUAAAUGGUGGAUCACUUGUUUCACUUUUCGAUAUUGACAUUCCUUUCGUUUUAGUUUCUGAACACGCUAAGGGCAUGCGUAAUCAAUCUUCAGAUUAAGUAAGGUCAAGUUAGGGUUACUUGAAGACGGGUUCAACUGAGGUUGAAUUAUUCACCUGCAAGUCAAUAAUAUAUUUGCAAUGUUUUCGAUUUUGACCAAAUUGAACCAAAUUGACUGCUAAUAGCGAAAUAGUAUAUCAUUAUUCCGCUUUAAUAACUGUUUGAGACCCCA